GCACCAAUUUAGUUCACUGUCAGUAGAAAGAAGAAUGGUAGAAUGCUCGCCUGCCACGCAGGCGACCCGGGUUCGAUUCCCGGCCAAUGCACCA